rnacentral:sRNA from 2 species
AUUCUGCCCAAGCGGGGAAGGAUGAGAAGCUUCGACCAAGGUUCGACUUGAGCGCCAGCGAGAGAGCGUUGCCGCAGGCAACGACCCGAAGGGCGAAGCGCGCAGCGCU